GCGGGCGCACCGGAGUCGGAGAACCGGGCCUGGCUGUAACCCAGGUGGCUUUGCGCCUGAGUAGGUUCGACUCCUACCGCCCGCA
rnacentral:tRNA from 1 species